rnacentral:rRNA from 1 species
AGGGAAUCUUCCGCAAUGGACGAAAGUCUGACGGAGCAGCGCCGCGUGAGUGAUGAAGGUUUUCGGAUCGUAAAGCUCUGUUGCCAGGGAAGAACGUCCGUUAGAGUAACUGCUAACGGAGUGGCGGUACCUGAGAAGAAAGCCCCGGCUAACUACGUGCCAGCAGCCGCGGUAAUACGUAGGGGGCAAGCGUUGUCCGGAAUUAUUGGGCGUAAAGCGCGCGCAGGCGGCUGUUUAAGUCUGGUGUAUAAUCCUGGGGCUCAACUCCGGGUCGCACUGGAAACUGGACGGCUUGAGUGCAGAAGAGGAGAGUGGAAUUCCACGUGUAGCGGUGAAAUGCGUAGAGAUGUGGAGGAACACCAGUGGCGAAGGCGACUCUCUGGGCUGUAACUGACGCUGAGGCGCGAAAGCGUGGGGAGCAAAC